rnacentral:rRNA from 1 species
AUUGAACGCUGGCGGCAGGCCUAACACAUGCAAGUCGAGCGAGCGGCGGACGGGUGUGUAAUGUAUGGGGAUCUGCCCGAUAGCGGGGGCUAAAUACUGGAAACGGUGGCUAAUACCGCAUACUAUCGGAUGAACCCAUAUGGGAUUAGCUAGUAGGUGGGGUAAAGGCUCACCUCGGCGACGAUCCCUAGCUGGUCUGCGAGGAUGAUCAGCCACACUGGAACUGAGACACGGCCCAGACUCCUACGGGAGGCAGCAGGGGGGAAUAUUGCACAAUGGGCGCAAGCCUGAUGCAGCCAUGCCGCGUGUAUGAAGAAGGCCUUAGGGUGGUAAAGUACUUUCAGCGGGGAGGCGUUACCCGCAGAAGAAGCACCGGCUAACUCCGUGCCAGCAGCCGCGGUAAUAC